rnacentral:rRNA from 1 species
GAUGAACGCUGGCGGCGUGCCUAAUACAUGCAAGUCGAGCGAACAGACGAGGAGCUUGCUCCUCUGACGUUAGCGGCGGACGGGUGAGUAGCACGUGGAUAACCUACCUAUAAGACUGGGAUAACUUCGGGAAACCGGAGCUAAUACCGGAUAAUAUAUUGAACCGCAUGGUUCAAUAGUGAAAGACGGUUUUGCUGUCACUUAUAGAUGGAUCCGCGCCGCAUUAGCUAGUUGGUAAGGUAACGGCUUACCAAGGCAACGAUGCGUAGCCGACCUGAGAGGGUGGUCGGCCACACUGGAACUGAGACACGGUCCAGACUCCUACGGGAGGCAGCAGUAGGGAAUCUUCCGCAAAGGGCGAAAGCCUGACGGAGCAACGCCGCGUGAGUGAUGAAGGUCUUCGGAUCGUAAAACUCUGUUAUUAGGGAAGAACAAAUGUGUAAGUAACUAUGCACGUCUUGACGGUACCUAAUCAGAAAGCCACGGCUAACUACGUG